rnacentral:rRNA from 1 species
AGGACGAACGCUGGCGGCGUGCUUAACACAUGCAAGUCGAGCGGAAAGGCCCUUCGGGGUACUCGAGCGGCGAACGGGUGAGUAACACGUGGGCAACCUGCCCUUAGCUCUGGGAUAGCUCCGGGAAACCGGAAUUAAUACCGGAUAUGACCUAGGCCGACAUCGGCCGUGGUGGAAAGUUUUUCGGCUAGGGAUGGACUCGCGGCCUAUCAGCUAGUUGGUGGGGUAAUGGCCUACCAAGGCGACGACGGGUAGCCGGCCUGAGAGGGCGACCGGCCGACACUGGGACUGAGACACGGCCCAGACUCCUACGGGAGGCAGCAGUGGGGAAUCUUGCGCAAUGGGCGAAAGCCUGACGCAGCGACGCCGCGUGGGGGAUGAAGGCCUUCGGGUUGUAAACCCCGUUUCAGCAGGGACGAAGCGAAAGUGACGGUACCUGCAGAAGAAGCGCCGGCUAACUACGCGCCAGCAGCCGC